AGCCUCAUUCUCAAGGAGAUUGGGCACUGUGGGCCAUGGUGCCCAGAAAUGGUUAAAGGGGCUAAAUUGAGACACAAGUUAUGGGUCUGCAACACCAAAUGUAUUGCAGUGGUGACAAUGAGAACUGUAAUGUUU
rnacentral:snoRNA from 1 species